GUGGCAGGCCUAACACAUGCAAGUCGAACGGUAACAGGAAGAAGCUUGCUUCUUUGCUGACGAGUGGCGGACGGGUGAGUAAUGUCUGGGAAACUGCCUGAUGGAGGGGGAUAACUACUGGAAACGGUAGCUAAUACCGCAUAACGUCGCAAGACCAAAGAGGGGGACCUUCGGGCCUCUUGCCAUCGGAUGUGCCCAGAUGGGAUUAGCUAGUAGGUGGGGUAAAGGCUCACCUAGGCGACGAUCCCUAGCUGGUCUGAGAGGAUGACCAGCCACACUGGAACUGAGACACGGUCCAGACUCCUACGGGAGGCAGCAGUGGGGAAUAUUGCACAAUGGGCGCAAGCCUGAUGCAGCCAUGCCGCGUGUAUGAAGAAGGCCUUCGGGUUGUAAAGUACUUUCAGCGGGGAGGAAGGGAGUAAAGUUAAUACCUUUGCUCAUUGACGUUACCCGCAGAAGAAGCACCGGCUAACUCCGUGCCAGCAGCCGCGGUAAUACGGAGGGUGCAAGCGUUAAUCGGAAUUACUGGGCGUAAAGCGCACGCAGGCGGUUUGUUAAGUCAGAUGUGAAAUCCCCGGGCUCAACCUGGGAACUGCAUCUGAUACUGGCAAGCUUGAGUCUCGUAGAGGGGGGUAGAAUUCCAGGUGUAGCGGUGAAAUGCGUAGAGAUCUGGAGGAAUACCGGUGGCGAAGGCGGCCCCCUGGACGAAGACUGACGCUCAGGUGCGAAAGCGUGGGGAGCAAACAGGAUUAGAUACCCUGGUAGUCCACGCCGUAAACGAUGUCGACUUGGAGGUUGUGCCCUUGAGGCGUGGCUUCCGGAGCUAACGCGUUAAGUCGACCGCCUGGGGAGUACGGCCGCAAGGUUAAAACUCAAAUGAAUUGACGGGGGCCCGCACAAGCGGUGGAGCAUGUGGUUUAAUUCGAUGCAACGCGAAGAACCUUACCUGGUCUUGACAUCCACAGAACCUUGUAGAGAUACGAGGGUGCCUUCGGGAACUGUGAGACAGGUGCUGCAUGGCUGUCGUCAGCUCGUGUUGUGAAAUGUUGGGUUAAGUCCCGCAACGAGCGCAACCCUUAUCCUUUGUUGCCAGCGGUCCGGCCGGGAACUCAAAGGAGACUGCCAGUGAUAAACUGGAGGAAGGUGGGGAUGACGUCAAAUCAUCAUGGCCCUUACGACCAGGGCUACACACGUGCUACAAUGGCGCAUACAAAGAGAAGCGACCUCGCGAGAGCAAGCGGACCUCAUAAAGUGCGUCGUAGUCCGGAUUGGAGUCUGCAACUCGACUCCAUGAAGUCGGAAUCGCUAGUAAUCGUGGAUCAGAAUGCCACGGUGAAUACGUUCCCGGGCCUUGUACACACCGCCCGUCACACCAUGGGAGUGGGUUGCAAAAGAAGUAGGUAGCUUAACCUUCGGGAGGGCGCUUACCACUUUGUGAUUCAUGACUGGGG
rnacentral:rRNA from 1 species